GAAAGUCUAAUUAAUUACAUUUUUUAAUAUGUGUGAAAUGUCUAAAACAUCAUAUAAUUUGGGACGGAGUAACAUUUAGGAAGUUGCUUGAUUUGUCACUUUUCCUAAACUCCAAUAAACCGAGGUUCAUAAUGUUUAUUGAUCAGCUUGAGGCAACUUCCCUAAAUUCCAUACUAAAUAAUUGAUUCAAUAUAUAGCUUGAAAAUCACUACUCAUCACUCAUCCAACCAAAAGGAAUCAAUUAAAGAUGGUAGUAGCCUGAGUAUAUUAUCCGAUAAUACUACUUUUUUUUAGUGCCACUGAAUUGAUAAAUGAAAACCUCAAAACAGUUAUUAUUUUGGCCAAC
rnacentral:lncRNA from 1 species